rnacentral:tRNA from 1 species
GGGGUGGAGCAGUUCGGUAGCUCGUCGGGCUCAUGCAGGAGGUCGCGGGUUCGAGUCCCGUCCGGACCGCCA